AAGUGUCCACUAGAUUUAGCAACAAAGGGGUCAGAGGUGGCCGUGAGAGACCAGCCUUGGGGGCCUGGAGGGGCCAAAGCCAGACUGAGGGAGCUGGGAGGUGAGGAAGUGGGAAACACUGUGCAGACACCCCUGGUUAAGAGGCUUGGCUGUGAAAGAAAGCCCAGGGUGGGGCAGUAGCUGGAAGGGGCCAGCAGGUCAAGAAAGGGAUGUUUUCAAGACAGAAGAGGCAGCAGGCCCGGAGCCAGGAGAGAAGCCGAGGGCACGGCAGAUAAGGAGCUGAUGGGCUGAGCGGGUGUCUCGGAGGCGCAGGUCCAGGCUGGGCCAGGGAGCUCUGUGCUGGAGAUGGGGACACCCCCCCAUCUGCCGGCUUGGGGUGAGGACUCAGAGUGUGAGUGCCACUGCUCAGGGGGGCUGGGUCUGAGGGCGCUGGGCCUGUGCUGGAGCCCGGGGGGUGCUGCCCGGCCCGCCUGCUCCCUCUCCCUGUGCACCCCCGCCGUCCUCCUCCACCCCCGCGGCCCCCACACCUGCCCACUGCCCCACCCCAGAGAGGAGAGGCAGUGUGAGAGGUCAGUCUCCUCGCGGCCCUUGCCGUCUCCGGCACUGGUCAGACCAGCGGACACGGGGAGGGGCAGCGAGAAAGCCCCCAAGGGGGCCGCUGCCCCGGAUGAAAUGGUGGGAACCGAGGUGGCAGCUGUGCGGGAGGCCGAGGACCCGCCCCCUGAGAGCCCGGGCAGAGCCGGAGCCCAGCGGGGCUGCCCGGCAUGUGUGCGCAUGUUGGGUGGGCUGAGGGAGUGCAGUUUUGCUGCAGGGGGUUGGAGAAAAGCACCGAAGGACAGCAAAAGGGAUUUCUCCACAGGCCCGCGAGGCCCGGGGCCUGAGGUGGGGCCAGUUUCCUCUGCAGGGAGCCCUCAGCUGACGAAUCAUACAAACACCGUAUGGGCUGGCUGAGUCCCUCAGAGAAGCUUUCCUGCACCUGUCUCCAGCCAGGGUGACCUCCAAGGACAGAGGCAUGUGACGAGAACCUCCUGGCAAUCUGGAUCUGCUGCUCUGGUGACCCAGAGGAGAGCAGGGAAUUGGAGGGUUUUGGUCUCACAGUUUCCUUGGAAGAGCAGGCGGCGAGGGGCGUGUAGAGUCAGGGUAGGACAGGCGUGGGCGAGGGGAGGGCCCAGGAGGACGGGAUCCUGGGCAGGAUAGGAGGGGGCGAGCUGAUGACAGCCCUGGCUGGGCAGUUCCGGUGUGGCUCCCAGCCCCGCUCUGUCACUGCUCUCCUGGGAGACUCUUAGCAAGCCCCUGUGCCUCGGUUUCCCCAUCUGACAAAUGCAGAGGGAGGGAGGAGGUAGACGUGGAUUCGGAGUCACAAGAGACGAAUUUCUAGCUCUGCCACCCAGCCUCGGGGCCCGCAGCUUCAGCCGGGUCAUUUGACGCGUCCCAGCUUCACUUCUUCCUCUGCUUAGCAGAUGGCGGCUUGUCCUCGGCCUCCUGGCUGGCCACCCAGGCCUGGGCUUGGGUUCCCAUUGCCCCCCUCUCCCUGCCCACCCGCCUCUCCUUCCUGGUGGGGGACCUGUCUCUCCUUUCGGGGGAAGGGGUUCCGUCUCCGUCAGCCCCCGGGGAGCACGAGGAACAGGAAAAUUACAGCAUCAGCGUGGAAACGACAACUGGGGGCGUCUGGGUCACAGGGAGGGCGACUUGUUCCUCUUUUUUUAUUUUUAGUCGCUAUUAUCUAGGCAAGGAGGCCUGCGCUCAUUAACCUGUAUUGCCAGCGCAGACACUCUGCGAACCCGCUGCAGCUCUCCCAGGGCCACUCCACACAUGCACAGAUUAUGCAGCAGCAGCAUCCUGGCCCGGCCAAGGCAGCGUCCAGGCCUGUCCUCCACACGCUCACAGCCCCGUCCCCCCAGGUGGGCUCCCCUGCAUCCCAGAGCUCCUUCCCCCAUCCCGGCCACCCCCAGGGUCCAGGCUUCUGGACAAGGGCACACACAGGGGUGAGCCCCUCACAGGCUGAGGCCCUGGUCACCUCCGUCCAGAU